GACGAACGCUGGCGGCGUGCCUAAUACAUGCAAGUCGAACGAAGCUUUUUUAACUGGUGCUUGCACCGACUUAAACAACUGAGUGGCGAACGGGUGAGUAACACGUGGGUAACCUGCCCCAAAGCGGGGGAUAACAUUUGGAAACAGAUGCUAAUACCGCAUAACCACAGAAACCACAUGGUUUCUGUGUCAAAGAUGGUUUCGGCUAUCACCUUGGGAUGGACCCGCGGCGUAUUAGCUAGUUGGUAAGGGAAUGGCUUACCAAGGCAAUGAUACGUAGCCGAACUGAGAGGUUGAUCGGCCACAUUGGGACUGAGACACGGCCCAAACUCCUACGGGAGGCAGCAGUAGGGAAUCUUCCACAAUGGACGAAAGUCUGAUGGGGCAACGCCGCGUGAGUGAAGAAGGUUUUCGGAUCGUAAAACUCUGUUGUCAGAGAAGAACGUGUGCGAGAGUAACUGUUCGUGCAGUGACGGUAUCUGGCCAGAAAGCCACGGCUAACUACGUGCCAGCCGCCGCCGUAA
rnacentral:rRNA from 1 species